rnacentral:rRNA from 1 species
UGACUGGGGCGGUCUCCUCCUAAAGAGUAACGGAGGAGCACGAAGGUUGGCUAAUCCUGGUCGGACAUCAGGAGGUUAGUGCAAUGGCAUAAGCCAGCUUGACUGCGAGCGUGACGGCGCGAGCAGGUGCGAAAGCAGGUCAUAGUGAUCCGGUGGUUCUGAAUGGAAGGGCCAUCGCUCAACGGAUAAAAGGUACUCCGGGGAUAACAGGCUGAUACCGCCCAAGAGUUCAUAUCGACGGCGGUGUUUGGCACCUCGAUGUCGGCUCAUCACAUCCUGGGGCUGAAGUAGGUCCCAAGGGUAUGGCUGUUCGCCAUUUAAAGUGGUACGCGAGCUGGGUUUAGAACGUCGUGAGACAGUUCGGUCCCUAUCUGCCGUGGGCGCUGGAGAACUGAGGGGGGCUGCUCCUAGUACGAGAGGACCGGAGUGGACGCAUCACUGGUGUUCGGGUUGUCAUGCCAAUGGCACUGCCCGGUAGCUAAAUGCGGAAGAGAUAAGUGCUGAAAGCAUCUAAGCACGAAACUUGCCCCGAGAUGAGUUCUCCCUGAGACUUUAAGUCUCCUGAAGGAACGUUGAAGACGACGACGUUGAUAGGCCGGGUGUGUAAGCGCAGCGAUGCGUUGAGCUAACCGGUACUAAUGAACCGUGAGG